ensembl:lncRNA
CGCCGAGGGGGAGUCAGGUGACCUGCGAGGAAGCUUGGCUGGGGGCCGGGAGGCUGCACCGGGGUGCAGGGUGAGGUCAACUUCCCCCUUCCCCGGGGCUUGUACCCCCCCGCCUCCCCGGGCCCACAGGCUGGCGGGAUGUCUCUCCAGCUGUCUGUCCACUGUCCCCUCAUCCCACCAAGGGCUCCAGACCUUGGCUUGUUCCCCUGGUGCCGGUGAAGUCUGAGUUCCCGGCAAGGACCAGCCUCCAGGGGGCUUCAGGUCAAGGUCGUGCAGGGGCUGGGGAGGAGACCCCAGCCAGGGAUUGCGGGAGAGAACCCUGCCCCCGACCCCCACUCCAUCCCGCCCCCACUUCUCUGCAGCUAUUUAAAGCAAGUGGUGGCCGUGGGAAACUUCUUCAGAUGUGUGGUUUCAGCUUCUUCAGCACAGGCACUGGGUCUGCUCUCUCGGUCUGGUGACUCAUCCAGAGUGAGAAAAGCCUUUUUGUUGUUUGGCGCUCGCUGGAGGCUCUGUGGUCUGAGAGCCUGGCCCGAUGGGACCUUCCCUUGCUGGGACUCCAGGAAGGCCUUGGAAGUGCCAGAGUACCCCUUUGUCCCGUCACCAGACCCAGGAAGCCCCUAGGGCUGCAACGUUCUGGAGGGGGUUGGGGCGGCCAGGCUGCCCAUCUUCAAAACCCGUCCCAGCCACCACCUCCUCCAAGAAGCCACGGCUUUCUUCUAUUGGAUCUUUCCAAGGACCUUGGUUUUCAGAGACACACCAACCAGCUGUCCUGCUCUCACUCACUUCUCAUUGGUGAGGCAGUUACAACUGGAAGCUGUGGGUUCGGGGGUGGACCUCACUGAGCCGGCAGGAGGACCUCUAUAGCACUAGGCGGUAGCCAGCCGGCCUGGAACAUUCAGGACGUGGUGACAUCCACUAUUCUGCCUUCCCAAAGAAGGGAGAAUGUUUCUAAGUCCAGAGAAUCCGCUGAAUGGAGACCAGGAAGGCACUCCCGACUGUUUUGUUCCCAUUUU